rnacentral:rRNA from 1 species
AACGAACGCUGGCGGCAUGCCUAACACAUGCAAGUCGAACGAGACCUUCGGGUCUAGUGGCGCACGGGUGCGUAACGCGUGGGAACCUGCCUUUAGGUUCGGAAUAACUCAGAGAAAUUUGAGCUAAUACCGGAUGAUGUCUUCGGACCAAAGAUUUAUCGCCUUUAGAUGGGCCCGCGUAAGAUUAGCUAGUUGGUGGGGUAAAGCCUACCAAGGCGACGAUCUUUAGCUGGUCUGAGAGGAUGAUCAGCCACACUGGGACUGAGACACGGCCCAGACUCCUACGGGAGGCAGCAGUGGGGAAUAUUGGACAAUGGGCGAAAGCCUGAUCCAGCAAUGCCGCGUGAGUGAUGAAGGCCUUAGGGUUGUAAAGGCUCUUUUACCCGACGAUGAUAAUGACAGUAUCGGGAGAAU